UACGGGGGGUGCGAGCGUUGUCCGGAAUCACUGGGCGUAAAGGGCGCGUAGGUGGUGGCUUAAGCGUGCGGUGAAAGCUCGGAGCUCAACUCCGAGUCGGCCGUGCGAACUGGGCUCACUGGAGCAUAGUAGAGGCAGGUGGAAUUCCGGGUGUAGCGGUGGAAUGCGUAGAGAUCCGGAAGAACACCGGUGGCGAAGGCGGCCUGCUGGGCUAUGGCUGACACUGAGGCGCGACAGCGUGGGAGCAAACAGG
rnacentral:rRNA from 1 species